AUGUAUAGUUUCUUACCUGGGCCGGACAAAAUUUACACCAUUGGCUUGGCUGCUAUAUGUUGGGCUAUUUGGCUAGCCAGGAACCGAGCCACUUUCGAGCUCAAAUGGAUUAACUCUCCAUUUGAAAUUGUAUUUACAGCUUGUGCCUUUUUGAUGUACUGGGCAGGUCUCCAGAAACCAGAGAUAGGAGAGAUGGUGAAAAAAGGAGCGGAGAUGCUGAAGGAGAACACAACACAGAUGAUGAUGCUUUGCGGUCCCCCGAUUCCAGCUAGGGACGGACGUGAUGGGAACUAA
rnacentral:rRNA from 1 species